UCUGCACUGUGGGAAUGAAAGUCAAGUAAAGGAGUAUGUACCACAUAAAAUACAACAAAAAUUUAAUAUUAACACAGAUUUCAUUUGUGAAAGCCUAAAAAAUAGGGGUAGGGCCAUUUGAGUUUUGCCAUAACUUUCUCAAUUAUUUUAGUGGCCAAUGUUGGUAUACAUCAGUGGUUCCCAACCUUUUUUUGACCAGGGACCACUUGACCAGGGAUCAUUUGACCAUGGACCACUAUCCAAAAUUAGUACCAAAAGAGUUAUGAAUCAGUUUUUGGUCAACUUUAGAUUCAGUUUGGUUAUUUGGGGUGCUGACUCAAAACUGCAUUGGAUAAUCCACAUAAGCUCUAGUUUCUGAUACAGAACACAUACCAUCCAGUAGUCGCCAUCUGCUCACCCACAGAAAACCAUAUUUAAUAAUCUAGAGCUCAUGUGGUAGUAGUAAUAUUUCAUGGGUAGCCAGCCUCUCCCCUCCCAACAUCCCUGUUGCCUCAGCACUAUAAGAGGGUUUCCCAAGACCAGUUACUUUCAUUGUGGUUUCGAGGCAAUGGUGAGGCUGUGUACCAUAUUUUUGUUCUUGGGGAUCACUGGUGGUCCACAGACCACAGCUUGGGAGCCACUGAUGUAUACUGAUUGCAACCAUUAGUACUUAUGCUAAAACCAUAUUAAGUUCAAUCUGAGGGGACAUCUUCCUCUACGUCCCACCUCGGAGUUUAAGAUCUGGGGAGGCCCUGCUCUCGACCCCGCCUCUGGCGCAAACACGCUUGGCAGGGAUGAGGGACAGGGCCUUCUCAGUGGUAGCCCCCCACUUGUGGAACUCAUUCCCCAGCAAAAUAAGGUCAACUACAUUCCUCCUCUCCUUUAGGAAGAAAUGGAAAAUGUGGUCGUGGGACCAGGCUUUCGGGUAGCACAUUGAUAACGAUAAGACUAUGGAAAAUGGACUAUGCACAGGCUUCUGAUUGUGUUAAUGUUUGCAGAAUUUGAUUCUAGAUAAGGCUAGACAGCCAGUAUUAUUUUAAAUGGAUUUAAUUUUAAACUAGUUUUAAACUAAUUUAAUGUAUCAUUUAUAUGUAAUUACUGUAUUAUUAUCUUGUAUGUGGGGGCAUCGAAUUGUUGCCGGCUGUAAGCCGCCCUGAGUCCCCCUGCGGGGUUGAGAAGGGUGGGGUACACAUGUUUGAAAUACAUAAUAAUAAAUAAUUGCUCCACAGGGACAGAAUCAUUGAAGACAACAAAGGAUGUGCAUUUUGAAGUGUACAAAUCCCUUAACUAGCCAUCUCUCUCUUAUUUGUUUUUUUCCUGAGCAAGGUACAUAUUUUUGGAAACAAUCUCAGAUCCUUCCAACUCAGACUGCAGAAGUUACAUUUUUGUGUGCAUGCAAAGCUCAUUAGUGAUGUGCAUGCUUGGACUGUACUUGUUUCCUACUUUCAUACACACUGACCCCAGUCUACCAGACCUGAGGCCACUUGAAGGUAAGGUCUUAGGCAUAUUUAUUUAGAAGUCCCACUGUGAUAAUGGGAUACGUCCCUAUAAGGCUGCAGCUCUAAUUCCACUGCAAUCACUGUGUCUAUGCCCCAUAUGCUGGAUGUUACGCUGAAAAGCAGUAGCUAAUGUGCUACGACUUCCAGAGUAAAGAAACUACAAUGGCAGCCAGACUGUGUGUCAUGUAAAAUAAAACAAAGAAAUCCCAGAACAAAGACAGUAAGAAUGUGCUUCCUAGCUUCUUGAAAUGUGGGAAUAUGAAAAAGAGUGGGGGAAACCCCUUGUGUUUCCAAUCAUAAACACAAUAGUCACUAUUUCUUUGUCACUGCCAUGAAACAUGCAUCUUACAGCAGGAAACACAUAGUAAAUUGCUGCUUAACAAGGAACAUCUGUCAGUAUGCCUUCCCUUGUAAGCAUCUCACAAUCAUUAGUUAAGAUAUGUCUGGAUAUUGUCAAGAACAGGAAAUUCCAAAGCAAGUUUUUUCUGGCUGAGAAACAGUCUAAACUCCUAACCAAAGCACCUUCUCAGGACAAAAGCAUUCUGCAAGAUAUCUUGUCCCUUUAGGGAUAAAACACGGCUCUCAAGCUUGAUGCAGGUUCCAAAGUGGAACAAAGUGAACCAACUGUGUGUGUCUGAAGGCAUAAAAGGAGAAAGGAAAGACUCUGUUGAUGAAGACUGGCUGGGCUUUCCAACUCUGGACUUGGCUGGCUUUUGUUGCUUUCUCAGUGUGUGAGUGGAAAAUCUGGAAAUAAAACUCUGUGCACGUUAGAGCUUCUGGGAGUACCUAACCUGCUGGAAAACAUAUGGAUUAAAUUUGAUCAUACACUUGAGGUUAUUCCUUCUUCAAUCUGUCACCAAUAAAGGAGAUUACUUUCAAACUGCUCUCAAUGCGUACAGAAAUUAGAUAGCUACACCUUUUCCUA